GCUUACAAUGAACCUCACACCACUAAGACUACAAAUCUUCUUUGAAGAGUAUUUUCUCACUAAAAUCUCUCUAGAUCUUUUGUAUCUUCAGUGUGCCAAAGUUGUUUGAAAUAUCUGACCAACCACUAUUUAUAUAGGACCAAGAAAGUGCCUCAUUAAUGCUUCCAAUGGAUAGAAAGUAGCUGAACAGUCAACUAUCCGUUGGCAGUGUCGGACGUCCGGUAGCCCUGUUUUGUGCGUCCGACAGCAGGCAGAGAGUUUAAGAGAUUUUCUUCAAUUCCUUAGGACGUCCGAUAGGCUGGUUUUCUGCGUCCGAAGAUACUCAAUGGUUGUCAGAUGUCCGAUGCAGUCUUUUUGAGCGUCCGACAGCUUUCAACAACCUUUGUCUUCUUUCAAUAGCACUUGUUCAUGGAAUCACAUAACUUCAUAACUGAAAAUAUUUCUUGGAGAGAUAUUAGUAUCAUCC
rnacentral:lncRNA from 1 species